CUCCUCUUAGGGUUGCAUCUGGAAAGUUUCCAAUACUCUACCAUUCUCAAUUACAGGAGGGAGAGUCAAGCAGAGGCCUGUCCAUUCCAUUCCUAGCUUGGCCAGUGGCUAGCUAGUGGAAGGCAAUCUGCUAUAAGU